rnacentral:rRNA from 1 species
UACGGGGGGGGCAAGCGUUGUUCGGAAUUACUGGGCGUAAAGGGCUCGUAGGCGGCCAACUAAGUCGGACGUGAAAUCCCUCGGCUUAACCGGGGAACUGCGUCCGAUACUGGAUGGCUUGAGUUCGGGAGAGGGAUGCGGAAUUCCAGGUGUAGCGAUGAAAUGCGUAGAUAUCUGGAGGAACACCGGUGGCGAAGGCGGCAUCCUGGACCGACACUGACGCUGAGGCGCGAAAGCCAGGGGAGCGAACGGG